AAGCCACACAUGACUAAAUGACUGAGAUAACUACUGUUGGUGAUUGAAGAAUCGUACAUUGAAACUUAAGGUUAGUAUUCUUCAUAUUUUUUAUGAUUCACAUGCUCAUCAUUAAUUUUUUUCUGAUUAAUCAUUACUUACUUUUUAUGUUUUAGAAUGUAUAUGCCGAAACCACAGCUCAACCUUUACCUAGUGGUUGAAAAAAUUGAAUUCUCAUCUUAAAGUUUACAUGAAACAACAACAACAUCUAUCUUCAACUAAUGUACACCAGAAUACAGCAAAAAGAAGACUGUGCAUCAGAAAUAUAUUUACCAUUUUACAUAAAGUAAGUGCAUUUUUAUUCAUAAUUUUGUUAUUUAAAUUUGUUUAGCCUUUAUAUCUUUCACUUCAAAAUACAAAACACCAUAUUAAUAUGUUUUCUUUUAUUGUAGAAACAAGUACUAUGGUGAACACAACACUGCAUCAAGUUGACACUUACCAUUUUACAAACAGUAGGUGUAUUUUUAUUAAUAAUUUUGUUAUAUAAAUUUGUUUAUCCUUUAUAUCUUUCACUUCAAAAUACAUAACACCAUAUUAAUAUGUUUUCUUUUAUUGUAGAAACAUGUACUAUGGUGAACACAACACUGCAUCAAGUUGACACUUACCAUUUUACAAACAGUAGGUGUAUUUUUAUUCAUAAUUUUGUUAUAUAAAUUUGUUUAGCCUUUAUAUUUUUCACUUCAAAAUACAUAACACCAUAAUAAUAUGUUUUCUUUUAUUGCAAAGAGAUGUACUAUGGUGAACACACCACUACAUCGGGAUGACUUCCUUUUUAAUGUCAUUCACAUCAACUGUCGUUAAAACACAACGUAUCUACCAAUCAACAUUUAUUCAUCUUCAACAGUACUUAUCUCAGUCAUUUAUUCAUGUGUGGUGAUGAAAUAAGCAUGUACAUUAACACUUAAGAAUGUAUAUGAUGACACCACAGCUGAACAUUCAUCUUAUGGUUGACUACAGUCAAUUUUCACAUGUUCUUGUUUAAAUUAAACAAUCACAUCUCAUCAUUUUUUUCAUCGGAUGUCCACCGCACAAAAAUACAACAAAAAGAACACUGGACAUCAGUUAUAAAAUUACCAUGCUACAUGGAUAAGGUGUGCUAUGUUGGACACAACGCUACAUCAGUAUGACACACAGUAGUCAUCCUGGUCAUCCAGGCUAUUCCUUUUGAAUGUCCAGAGCUGGUUACAACAAGACAGGACUACCAAGCCAAAUUAAUUCAACAUUUUCUAUCACAUUAUGAAGAACUAUUUCUUUAGGAUUACAAGAAAGACAUGAUAUAGCAUCAUGCAGAUAUGUUGUUUAUUUACACUUUAUUUUUAUUUUUUUAUUUUGAGAAUGUAUAUUAAUUUCACAACAAAUACAAUGGGUGUGGUUGUGCAUAUCAAGCAAAGGACUGCUGCAGUUCCUAAAACUUUAUUGUAGGGCUGGGUAUUGUUAGGAAUUUCACAAUUCGAUUCAAUUUCGAUUCUUGAGGCUUCGAUUCGAUUCAAUUCAAUUUUGCUUUACUUGCUUCGAUAUCGAUUCAAUAAUAAGUAAAUACCCAAGCAAUUAAGUACCUGAGUAUAUUUUUAAACAAUGUGUGUAGCAUUAAUAAUGUUUGAUCACGUUGAUGGUGAAGGCUUGUAAGAAGUGCUGCGGUUUGCCAUC